CAUGGCUCUGAGGAUGGUUGGUAGGGAUUUGUUGGAUUAGGUUACCUGAGCUAGAAAGCUCAACCCUGAAUAGGGGAUAGAGUCCCCCGGACUUGAGGAAGAAUGAGAAAGCAAGCUGAGCACAGGCAUUUAUCCAUGGCCCUGCUUCCUGAACUUAACAUGCCAUAUGAGCAACUGUCUCUUGCUCCUGCUUCUGUGACUUCUCAUGAUAAAUCUACCUUCCAAAUGUAAGCCAAAAUCGAUCCAUUCAGGUGUUAGCCACAGCCACAAGAAAGAAACACUGUCUACUGUGAGGUGUUUUCCAACCCCGAAACUCUAUCAAAACAUCUCCCCAUCAGAAAGAACACACUGUGAACAUGAAUGGCUACUAAGUCCUCAUGUGUCCAAGUUCCUCUUGCAAUCCCACAUAUCACCAUCGUGUGGUAUCAUCAACAUAGAAGAAGAGGAAAACUGGGAGAUCAACGCUGCUCCCCCUACCUCUCAUAGCUCCCACCAGUGCGAGUGAGCUCAGGUGCUUAUGGAAGGCCUGUCCCAGGUCUCUGAACUGCACUCCCUUCAGCUUGACGAAGCUGGGUUCCUCUGGGAAGGACUGAAUGAUGACUCUGGCCCCCAGAUCCCUGGCUCCCAGCAUCUUCUCACUCUUAGAAUACAAACAGUGCUUCAAGUUACCUGAAACAUAUAAUGAUGUCCAGGGGAAAACAUAGAGCAUACUUCUAGAUAAAUCUCUGUUUACAAGACUCUAUAUAAAAGACAAACUGUC
rnacentral:lncRNA from 1 species